UACGAACCGUCCAACCGUUAUUCGGAAUUACUGGGCUUAAAGGGUUUGUAGGCGGCCUUGUAAGUGGGGUGUGAAAUCCCUCGGCUCAACCGAGGAAUAGCGCUCCAAACUACAUGGCUUGAGGGAGACAGGGGUAAGCGGAACUGAUGGUGGAGCGGUGAAAUGCGUUGAUAUCAUCAGGAACACCGGUGGCGAAAGCGGCUUACUGGGUCUCUUCUGACGCUGAGAAACGAAAGCUAGGGUAGCGAACGGG
rnacentral:rRNA from 1 species